CAGCACUAACAAGUGCAGAUGAGGUGCUUUCCCAGUCAUUGGAAGGGAGGCCAGGCAUUCAUGGCCUAGACCAUGGCAUUGACACUGAUGAUGCUUAUGCCUGUGCAGAUGAAACUGACACUGCAGCAGAAGGCCCAGUAGGUGAAGAACCACAAGGUGAAAGGGCAGUGCCUCAACAGGAAAACCAUUCAGAUGAGAUAAAAAAAAAGCCGGUAGCAGAGAAGAAAUCAAGCUGAGGCAACAUAUCACAACACAAUAGAGGACACUAAAAGGAUUAAACUUGAACAAAAGAAGCUGCAAAUGGAAAUUGAAAUGUUAGCAAAAAAUCAAAAGAAAUUAGAUUCCGAAAUUCAGUUGCUCCAUGUCAGAUCAAUAUACUAUCAACUUAAGAUGAAUGCCGAAUUUGGAGUGUCAUUGGAACACUGUAAAACUGAAGAAUAAAUGACAUCAAAUUUUA